rnacentral:lncRNA from 1 species
UAGGGUCUUUUGAAUUGGCCGCUGAGACCAAAGGGGUGUUGGACUUGGAAGUGCUUUUGGUGCUGCCAGUUUGUCUACCCUGUUUUGGUGUUUAUUCUGAAAAAGGUAAUAUGUACCUUGUACUUCUUCUGUAAAAAUGUUUUAUUUUGUUGCUUGUGAACCUUUGCUGCCUUACUAAGUUAUUGUGAUUUUACUGCAGUGAAGUUUCUUGCAACUUUGAGGCUUCUGUUAACCACACUCAACCUUGCAAGAGCAACCUUCUUGAGGUCAGGCCUGUAGUAGUUAUCUGCCACUGGUUUUGAACAGCCUUAGCCAUCCUCCUAAACUCCUUCUUCAUCACAGAUUUAUGAAGCAAAGCGGACGGCUUGUUCUGCUUCCUUGGCUUGGAGAAAGUUAGCAGGCUUCAAGUUAGAGUGCACAAUACGUUCCUCGUGAAUUGUAUUGACAACUUGAAGAAUUUUCGGCCAAUAAAACCGAAGCCAGUUUUCAUCUAUCAUCUCGUUUGAUUCACUCAGCUUCUUCCACUGCUGCGACAACAUGUGAGCUAACUCAAUUUCACCGUAUUCAAACUCAGAGUCGGCACAAGAAUCAAAUGUUUGCACCACACUUGCAGCCUUAUCAACUGAUAAUUUAUUCGAUUUUUCGACACAAGUGUUUACAUUCGUUGAUUCCAUAACUCUUUCAGCUUCUUAGUAGCCUUCUCAGCGGAGGGUGUAGACCACUGACACGGGAG